GGUCUUAAGGUAUCACUUCUUUCAAGAUUCAAGGUUCAACACCUUAUGAGUGCAAACAAUCCUUUGGGGUCACACCCCUUGGUGAAAAGUCAGCGAUUUAACUAGUUUCGUGUAGGAAAAUUUUCAAAGGUGCGGUGCACGGAACCGGAGUUUACUCUACAGGAGUGGGUCCGAAGGAUCCUAUUUUGGAGAGGUUCCUGACAU